rnacentral:rRNA from 1 species
UACGUAGGGUGCAAGCGUUAAUCGGAAUUACUGGGCGUAAAGCGCGCGUAGGCGGCUGUCUAAGUCGGGUGUGAAAGCCCCGGGCUCAACCUGGGAACUGCAUUCGAUACUGGACGGCUAGAGUAUGAGAGAGGGAGGUAGAAUUCCACGUGUAGCGGUGAAAUGCGUAGAUAUGUGGAGGAACACCUGUGGCGAAGGCGACCAUCUGGAAGAUUACUGACGCUGAGACGCGAAAGCGUGGGGAGCAAACAGGAUUAGAUACCCCGGUAGU